ensembl:lncRNA
GCUUUUCAGGGUUUCUGCAGCGUCUUGCACAACAACAGUUGUUACAGCACAAUUCAUCAGAAACUCUGUUUUCACUUUAAAUAAAGAUCAAGUUUGAAUCAAAACAUCAGCAAAAUGAACAGCUGUGGUACAAGUGUUACACCUGUUACAAGUGGGAACAGGUGUAACACUGACAAUCUGAUCAUUGCAUUUAUGGACUGAAAACAUUCAAUAAUGAUGUGAGUACUGUCACAUCAGCUGUUUGUCUUUAAGAGAGAAAAGUCAGAGGAAAGAAUGAAACCCAUUUCAUUUGACUUCACUUGUCUGUCAUUUGUCUUUUAGAAGAGACGAGGAAAUGGAAACCAAAAGGUUCUGUACAUUUCUCUUUGGAGGCAUUUUUGAAACUGUUUGAAAGAACAAAAGUGUUUAACGAACCCAUUUUCAGAUCAGUGGAGCCGAGCAGAUAAACACUUUUAUGUUCUGUGUCAGAAAAACUGAAAUAUCCCCACAUUGAUCUGACAUGUGACACAAAACAGAGAGAUUAACACUGUCUGUCAACAGAGGCGGCAAAAUACUGACACUUUGCACUUAUGAACAAGUACAGAUACUUGUACUUAAGAAGUAUUUCAAAAUGCUUGAUAUUUAAAGUGCUGUGAAGUACUGAUUCAACAUCUUUAUUUAAGUGAAAGUACUGAGGGCUCUGAAAUGUACUCACAGUUUCUAUCAGAUAAGUUUAGUUACAUGUUUACAGAACCUUGUUCUAUAUUAAUAUAAUCAUAAUAUAAUAUGAGUACAUGGGAAUACUAACUAUUAACUGUUCACUGUCUUUAUUAUAGACAGUGUACAGCUGGUAUUGUAUAUUUACUGUGAACAUGCUAAAAUAGUAAAACAACAACAAAGAAAAGAGACAAAAAUACAAAAUACAAGGAAAACAAAAUAAUAAUUAUAAACAACUUCAAAGUUCAAAAAGGAGUAGGAAGAAGCAUAAUCAUAUUUAAUCCCACCCCCUUUUCAAUAUUUAAUAACACUUUUUCUUCCAGUUUAGGCCCUAUCCAUCAUAACCUCUUCCUUACAAUUUGUUACAUGUUUGCUUUUAUUACCCCAGUAACACAUAAAACCAUAUGCAAAUGUACAGCUAUAUAUACUUAUUUAAACAAGGGGACUGUUGUUGUGAUUUGGUGCUAUAUUAUAGCUAUAUGAUAAUAAUAAAACAGAUUUGAAUUCAGUAGUUUAUUGAAAUUAGCCUUCACAUUUUCUUCUGUUAAUAACUGUUGAAGAAGUUGUGUCUAUUUUUUCUUUCUUUGUGGGGGAAGCAGACACCAGGCCCGACGAAUGGGAUGUCGUUUAAGUCAACAAUAAACCACAACACCAAUAUAAAGAUUUUUCUCUCUACAAACUUUAGAUAAUCUCUCACAUGAAUUUUCAUUUCAGUCAUUAGGCCGGCGGUCAUACCACAACCACUAAAAAAAAAUGACCCGGUCGCCCGGUAAGUUAUAAAAUGCAGAGGAUCAAAAAUUAAAGACUGCCACUUCUGUUUGAAACUCACACUGGAAAUGAUGUGGAAAUAUGAUUCUAGAGGUUCCUGAUAGGUUUCAUCACUCUGACCUCUUCACAUUUGAUAAAUAUCAUCAUCAUUAAUUCCUUCUUACCUUUGCUGUUUUGCUUCCACCACAAUAAACUCACACUUCCUGCACAGCUCUCUCUCUCUCAGUGGACUCAGAGAACAGUUUCCCAUCUCAAAUCUCUGUUUUCUGCAUUAUUCGCUUGCUAAUUAUGUACCAGUCUACUGUUGUGUACAGGCCGUUGUUUUUUUUUUCAAAAUGACCCUUGACAAGAAAGCCUCAUUUGUGCUGUUCAACACCAAAGAAAUUUAAUCUUUUUAAAAUGAUGGCACAUUGCAAAAUGCUCAGCUGUGUCUCUAAUAAAACCUGUAACUUUGCUCUGCUUCACAUCAGCAGCAUCAGGUAAUGUUCACCUGCUGAGUCAUGGUUUUCUUUGGUUUUUGUUCUACUGCAAAAUAUUUUAAGGUAAAUCUCCUUCAUGUUUCUUUUAUCCUCAGUUACUUUGACACAUCUGCUGUGAUGUUUACACAUCUGAUGAAGUCUCACAAGUGUCAGAACUGAUAAAUGAUCAGAAUUAUAAUAUUUCUGACUGACUGAGGCUAAAUUUCACAGAUUCAAUCCAAUCGAUUGUAGAAAUCAGUGAUGAGACCCAGCUCUAUUUCAUACAUAACUAAAGUUACCCACUGAUGAUAACUGAUGACAGUGUGCUCAGAUUGUUCUUGAAUGUGGAGCUUUCAAGUAUGUAUUCAGCACAAAAAGGUUUUCGUCAGCUUCAUUUAACUUCUUCCUCUAACUUCUGUCAGUUAGACAGUAAUUAUGCCAAAUAAAGGACAGUAAUUUGAAUUGAUUACCCUCAUGCUGUAUAACAGUUCUGUAACAUUCUGUUUGCACUUCCUUCAGUCUGGAAAAAUCACACCCAUCAGAUUCACAUUGAUGUGAUAGUUACAUGUUUGCUCACUGGUUGUUCUCAUGUCUGCAGGUACCAGUGGUACUGCAGGAUAUGGAGACGGCAGCCCCCACCCGGAGGAGGCGGACCGCCGUGUCCUCCGGUGGGAGAUCCGGGUAUGUGUGGGAUGAGGCAUGAAGUUAUUACACCGUCAGUUUCAUUGUCCUGGGCAGCAAUGUUUGUUGGAAGUACUUGUGUGUUUUUAGGCUUUUUUUCAGGACCAGUUGGCUCGGGGUAUAGUCCCAUAAGUAUUUCUCCAGGUUUUUUUAAAUUUAUAUAUAUUUAUAAAAAAGAAAGCUGACACUUGCAAGACUUUAUCAAAGGUGUAAACAUCACAGCAGAUGUCUUUGUGUCAACUGGGGAUAAAACACAAAAACAUGAAGGAGAUUUUCCUGCCCUGGUUUUUUUUUUUUUUAAACAAACAACCUUAAAAAUAUUCUGCAGUAGAACAAAAACUGGAGAAAACCAUGAAUCAACAAGCGAACAUUACCUGAUGCUGCUGAAUUGAAGCAGAGCAAAGUACAGCUAAGCAGUAUGCAAUUUUGCAUCAUUUUAAAAAGUUUGCUCAGCAUUGAACAGUAAUAACGUCCCACAGUGCUGUAAACAAUGUUAGACUGGUGGGUAAUAAGCAAGAGAAUAAUGCAGAAAACAGAUUUUUAGAUGGGAAACUCUUCCUCAGAGAGAGAGCUCUGCAUGAAGUGUGAUUUUAUCGUGGUGGAAGAAAAACAGCCACAGUAAGAGGGAAUAAAUGACGAUGUUUAUGUGAAGCGAAAUAUUGGGGUCUACUUUAUAUUCCAGCUCUAAAGUCAAUGUCGUCUUCACUCAUGAAGAUUUUUACUGUCCUGGGGACAGGAGAGAGGAGUCUCAUCAGAGGAGCUAUAAUUUUAUAGCUUGCAAAAGUAGAAACAAAUAAGUGUUCAUUUGAAUUCUUGUCUUAGUGAUUGAAAAUGGUCUCACUUUCUGCCCUUCACUGUUUGUAUCUAAGGCUAAAAAACUACCUUAUCUAAAUUAAAAGUGAUUCUAAAUAUUACAUAUUUAGUUGUGUGUGUGCAUGCACAUAUUUUAUGUAUACAGAUUUCUUUUCAACUAUUACUCAUGAUAUAACAGUGUGCAGACAGGCCCUUUGAGGACAUGAGGAGGAAACGGUGAUAAAAGGUGUGUGAGGCUGCUACAGGCUGUGGAUCCCUCACCAGCUGGAAUAAAAAGAGCACAGCUAACAAUAACACGUGUACCAGUUGUUCCUGUUCUGUGCUUUUUCCUUCACCCCGAGUACCAACAGGGCCAUAAGGCGUGUCAGCCGCACAGGGCUUCAGAUUCCCAGCAGUGAGUGAGGAAAUAGGAGGAGGCUACAAAGCUCAGAGUAACUUGGGUUAGAGAACCUGGAGCUGGUGGAGUCAUAGCUGCCUUUGUUCAACACCAUCUUCUCAUCUGGCUUGCAGGCCAUAACAGCAUCCACAGGCGAGGUUAAUUCUACAGUGAUCAUUUCCACUGAGUUCAAGAAGGAGUGAAAGUAUUCACUGGGGAACCCGCUCUGCAAGAGAGAAGUCACAGAACAGAAGAAGGGCUUAGAAAGAUUGGAAAUAUACAAGAUAUUCAACCUGCACUUUAAUGGAAU